AGAUUAAGUUAUUAAGGGCGCACGGUGGAUGCCUUGGCACUAGAAGCCGAUGAAGGACGUUACUAACGACGAUAUGCUUUGGGGAGCUGUAAGUAAGCUUUGAUCCAGAGAUUUCCGAAUGGGGAAACCCAGCAUGAGUUAUGUCAUGUUAUCGAUAUGUGAAUACAUAGCAUAUCAGAAGGCACACCCGGAGAACUGAAACAUCUUAGUACCCGGAGGAAGAGAAAGAAAAUUCGAUUCCCUUAGUAGCGGCGAGCGAAACGGGAAGAGCCCAAACCAACAAGCUUGCUUGUUGGGGUUGUAGGACACUCUAUACGGAGUUACAAAGGACGACAUUAGACGAAUCAUCUGGAAAGAUGAAUCAAAGAAGGUAAUAAUCCUGUAGUCGAAAAUGUUGUCUCUCUUGAGUGGAUCCUGAGUACGACGGAGCACGUGAAAUUCCGUCGGAAUCUGGGAGGACCAUCUCCUAAGGCUAAAUACUCUCUAGUGACCGAUAGCGAACCAGUACCGUGAGGGAAAGGUGAAAAGCACCCCGGAAGGGGAGUGAAAUAGAACCUGAAACCGUGUGCUUACAAGUAGUCAGAGCCCGUUAAUGGGUGAUGGCGUGCCUUUUGUAGAAUGAACCGGCGAGUUACGAUUUGAUGCAAGGUUAAGCAGUAAAUGUGGAGCCGUAGCGAAAGCGAGUCUGAAUAGGGCGUUUAGUAUUUGGUCGUAGACCCGAAACCAGGUGAUCUACCCUUGGUCAGGUUGAAGUUCAGGUAACACUGAAUGGAGGACCGAACCGACUUACGUUGAAAAGUGAGCGGAUGAACUGAGGGUAGCGGAGAAAUUCCAAUCGAACCUGGAGAUAGCUGGUUCUCUCCGAAAUAGCUUUAGGGCUAGCCUCAAGUGAUGAUUAUUGGAGGUAGAGCACUGUUUGGACGAGGGGCCCCUCUCGGGUUACCGAAUUCAGACAAACUCCGAAUGCCAAUUAAUUUAACUUGGGAGUCAGAACAUGGGUGAUAAGGUCCGUGUUCGAAAGGGAAACAGCCCAGACCACCAGCUAAGGUCCCAAAAUAUAUGUUAAGUGGAAAAGGAUGUGGCGUUGCCCAGACAACUAGGAUGUUGGCUUAGAAGCAGCCAUCAUUUAAAGAGUGCGUAAUAGCUCACUAGUCGAGUGACACUGCGCCGAAAAUGUACCGGGGCUAAACAUAUUACCGAAGCUGUGGAUUGUCCUUUGGACAAUGGUAGGAGAGCGUUCUAAGGGCGUUGAAGCAUGAUCGUAAGGACAUGUGGAGCGCUUAGAAGUGAGAAUGCCGGUGUGAGUAGCGAAAGACGGGUGAGAAUCCCGUCCACCGAUUGACUAAGGUUUCCAGAGGAAGGCUCGUCCGCUCUGGGUUAGUCGGGUCCUAAGCUGAGGCCGACAGGCGUAGGCGAUGGAUAACAGGUUGAUAUUCCUGUACCACCUAUAAUCGUUUUAAUCGAUGGGGGGACGCAGUAGGAUAGGCGAAGCGUGCGAUUGGAUUGCACGUCUAAGCAGUAAGGCUGAGUAUUAGGCAAAUCCGGUACUCAUUAAGGCUGAGCUGUGAUGGGGAGAAGACAUUGUGUCUUCGAGUCGUUGAUUUCACACUGCCGAGAAAAGCCUCUAGAUAGAAAAUAGGUGCCCGUACCGCAAACCGACACAGGUAGUCAAGAUGAGAAUUCUAAGGUGAGCGAGCGAACUCUCGUUAAGGAACUCGGCAAAAUGACCCCGUAACUUCGGGAGAAGGGGUGCUCUUUAGGGUUAACGCCCAGAAGAGCCGCAGUGAAUAGGCCCAAGCGACUGUUUAUCAAAAACACAGGUCUCUGCUAAACCGUAAGGUGAUGUAUAGGGGCUGACGCCUGCCCGGUGCUGGAAGGUUAAGAGGAGUGGUUAGCUUCUGCGAAGCUACGAAUCGAAGCCCCAGUAAACGGCGGCCGUAACUAUAACGGUCCUAAGGUAGCGAAAUUCCUUGUCGGGUAAGUUCCGACCCGCACGAAAGGCGUAACGAUUUGGGCACUGUCUCAACGAGAGACUCGGUGAAAUCAUAGUACCUGUGAAGAUGCAGGUUACCCGCGACAGGACGGAAAGACCCCGUGGAGCUUUACUGUAGCCUGAUAUUGAAAUUCGGCACAGCUUGUACAGGAUAGGUAGGAGCCUUUGAAACGUGAGCGCUAGCUUACGUGGAGGCGCUGGUGGGAUACUACCCUAGCUGUGUUGGCUUUCUAACCCGCACCACUUAUCGUGGUGGGAGACAGUGUCAGGCGGGCAGUUUGACUGGGGCGGUCGCCUCCUAAAAGGUAACGGAGGCGCUCAAAGGUUCCCUCAGAAUGGUUGGAAAUCAUUCAUAGAGUGUAAAGGCAUAAGGGAGCUUGACUGCGAGACCUACAAGUCGAGCAGGGUCGAAAGACGGACUUAGUGAUCCGGUGGUUCCGCAUGGAAGGGCCAUCGCUCAACGGAUAAAAGCUACCCCGGGGAUAACAGGCUUAUCUCCCCCAAGAGUUCACAUCGACGGGGAGGUUUGGCACCUCGAUGUCGGCUCAUCGCAUCCUGGGGCUGUAGUCGGUCCCAAGGGUUGGGCUGUUCGCCCAUUAAAGCGGUACGCGAGCUGGGUUCAGAACGUCGUGAGACAGUUCGGUCCCUAUCCGUCGUGGGCGUAGGAAAUUUGAGAGGAGCUGUCCUUAGUACGAGAGGACCGGGAUGGACAUACCUCUGGUGUACCAGUUGUCGUGCCAACGGCAUAGCUGGGUAGCUAUGUGUGGACGGGAUAAGUGCUGAAAGCAUCUAAGCAUGAAGCCCCCCUCAAGAUGAGAUUUCCCAACUUCGGUUAUAAGAUCCCUCAAAGAUGAUGAGGUUAAUAGGUUCGAGAUGGAAGCAUGGUGACAUGUGGAGCUGACGAAUACUAAUCGAUCGAAGACUUAAUCAAAUU
rnacentral:rRNA from 1 species